GACUCUGCUGCGUCAAUGCGGCUGGUCUUAAAUAUAUUAGCUGAUCCUAGCGAAGGUUUGGUUCUACUCAGCAUGAUAAUUAUCUGAUGUUGAGGACAGUCUUAGGACUGGCCAGGCUCUCUAUGGAUUGCUUCUAAUCGUCUUUGGACAAUCAUUCAAUAUCUGACCUCGAAUCAGGUGGGACUACCCGCUGAACUUAA
rnacentral:misc_RNA from 1 species